rnacentral:rRNA from 1 species
GACAGAGGUGCCAAGCGUUAGGCGGAAUCACUGGGCUUAAAGCGUGUGUAGGCGGAUCGUUAAGUACCUUGUGAAAUCCCACGGCUCAACCGUGGAACUGCUGGGUAUACUGGCGAUCUUGAGCCACCUAGGGGCGAGCGGAACAAGCGGUGGAGCGGUGAAAUGCGUAGAUAUCGCUUGGAACGCCGAAGGUGAAAACAGGUCGCUGGGGAUGUGCCGACGCUGAGACACGAAAGCCAGGGGAGCAAACGGG